rnacentral:tRNA from 1 species
GGAGAUUUACCCAAGAGGUCGAAGGGGCUCCCCUGCUAAGGGAGUAGUCCGGGAAACUGGAGCGAGGGUUCAAAUCCCUCAAUCUCCGCCA